GAUGCGUCAGGCUCCUGAAAAAUUAGCGGGGAUCAGCUCCCACAUUCCAGUGACCAGCUACCAAUCAUCCCACUCUCCCUAAAUGCCAGAGGCUGAUUGACAUGCUCGUUUCUGACUUUCCUGGGCCAGGCGGCUGGUUUGCGGGAGGAAAAACCAAGCUGCCGUCGUUCAAGCUGAGACUCAGGACGCGAGCGGCGGUCGAGCGGGCCAGGCCAGGAGCAGGUGGCUGUGCAGCGGGCUCGCCCAGCCCAGAAUUACGGAGCACCGCAUCGAAAGGUGGCUCAGCAUUACCAGAUCUGCUGACUUCUGAAGAAAAGCAAGAACUCAGGACUUCUGUGGAAUCAGUCUGUUGGUCACUAAUUCAAAUAAAAAUAAUGUCUGAGACGAGA